UCGAACGGCGCGAGCCGCCCUCGACACACAAACCAGGUGGAAGCGACCCGUGCUUCGGCGCUCCGGCGCCGCCUCGACGCAUGAAUCCGUCUGAAGUCUGAACACGAAAUUUGAAUCA
rnacentral:misc_RNA from 1 species